GAGUGCACCAAUAAGGCAGCUAAACUGCUAUUGUAUUGCUUCAUUCAAGUUGAAUACGCACACAUAACACUGUUUAACCUUUAUUCCAGUCAGCUCCCACCACCACCAUCAUCGUCGUCCACCUAACAGUUUGUCCAGGAGAAACUUGGGUUCAAACAAAGUUUAGAAGUUGAUGAUUUUUUUAGCCUCCAUCGUCACACUGAACUCUCGUAUAUAUCGUACGUUGAAUGGGUGGAUGGAUCAUCGGACUAUUUGGUUGGCCAAGAAGAAGCUAUUUUAUCAACCCACUGCUGCUGCUCUGCAUAUACAGCGCCACACUCUUCUUUCAUCCAUCCUCGUUUCCGUUGUUCAGCCGCCGGAAACACCCUCCAAUGAUGAGAGAAAGAUGUAGUUGGGGAAUUCUAAGACUCGGUAUUUCAAAAAAUGUACAAAAAUCCAUGCAAAACAGAAUAGCUUCAUCUGUGGUCCUUGAGUUGGACGUGAAAGUUUGGAUGCGUUAUGAGUGAGACUCAUUCAAUGCUCCGUGUUUUGUAUGAAAGUAUUUAUAUGCAUUAUGCAGUGAUCGAUCAACGCAGAAUUUGGGUUUACCGUAUAUAUAUUUUAAUUCAUAUUUAAAACGAUAUUGUAUAAAUUUAACAAUCAUUGUUACUACUUAAUAUCCUUAUUCAUGACUCUGUAACAUGAAGGUACAGAUUUUUAAGUAUUUUUUACCCCAUAUCUAUCUACCUCAUCAGAUCACCGUCAAUAGUUAAAUUCAUGUUUCUCGAUAAUAAAAAUUAAAAUUAUAGGCUUAAUAA